rnacentral:tRNA from 1 species
GGGGGUUUAGCUCAGCGGUAGAGCUUUCGACUGUUAAUCGAAUGGCCACUGGUUCGAAUCCAGUAUCCCCCU